GAUGAACGCUGGCGGCGUGCCUAAUACAUGCAAGUCGAGCGAACAGGCGAGGAGCUUGCUCCUCUGACGUUAGCGGCGGACGGGUGAGUAACACGUGGAUAACCUACCUAUAAGACUGGGAUAACUUCGGGAAACCGGAGCUAAUACCGGAUAACAUGUUGAACCGCAUGGUUCAACAGUGAAAGACGGUCUUGCUGUCACUUAUAGAUGGAUCCGCGCCGCAUUAGCUAGUUGGUAAGGUAACGGCUUACCAAGGCAACGAUGCGUAGCCGACCUGAGAGGGUGAUCGGCCACACUGGAACUGAGACACGGUCCAGACUCCUACGGGAGGCAGCAGUAGGGAAUCUUCCGCAAUGGGCGAAAUCCUGACGGAGCAACGCCGCGUGAGUGAAGAAGGUCUUCGGAUCGUAAAACUCUGUUAUUAGGGAAGAACAAAUGUGUAAGUAACUAUGCACGUCUUGACGGUACCUAAUCAGAAAGCCACGGCUAACUACGUG
rnacentral:rRNA from 1 species